ensembl:lncRNA
UUUCUCUGUGCCUUUAUUGUUAUAGCUGUGAUGUGGACUCUGCUAUUCUUUAAUAUUGAGAAUGAUUUUUAGAACUAUAUCUUUAUCAUUAUCUUUAUAGUUAUUGUCCUUGGUGUGAAAAGGCCUUUACACUAAAUAUCUUAUCUUCAGGAAGCUGUCUCCUGAGACCUCCAACAUUUUUUUAAGAGUGAAAAAUAGUAAUUUUAAGCAUGCACAACAUCGGUCUCCAAAAAAAAAAUUAAAAAAAAUUCCAUUCCCGUUACUUAUCCAUCACACAUCUCCAGGAUUUCCAGGGGAGGAGCUGAAUAAAAGGAGCUAAUAAAAAUAAAAUACUAAACAAUGAAAGCUCACAAAUGAGAAGUAUAAACAGCCAUGAGAAUUACAAAGACAAUGGCAAACAUGCAAUCAGGGCAAUGAGUUGCUAAACCGGACGAGAAUGUUACAUUAUCUAAGAUAUGUUUAUAGAUAUCAGUAGAACUGAAUAACGCCUUAACCUCUUUGUUCAUACUGGAGCAUGUUUGAACCCUAGGAACAUAAAAAGCAUGUGUCUUGCAUGGAUACUCUGCAGUUUUCACAUGAGGUGAAGCAAUGGGAGAGGAUACGGUGCUGGUGUCUUGGACGGUGAGAUGAUCUGAGAGGUGGUGGCUUGAGACGAUGGAGGAAGAUGACACACACACGAUGGGAACAGGAGGACACUGGAGAUCGCUGGAGAGAGUGUUUUGAUGGGGUUGUUCGCAUUCCCUUAUCCCUAUUGAUAACCCCUUCCUGCCAUCCAGCCCUGCUGAUUCAGUUGAAAAGAGGGAUAUUCUCAUUCAGAGAGUAGUCUCUCUUUCUUUCUCUCCCUC